UACGCAAAGGAUCGGGCAGCAAGUUAAGAGAGCCCCGUCGUGCAUGUACGUUUGUGUUUGUCUUUAGAAGUUGUUGGGACGAUCGACACCCACUGCCUCCGCAUCACCGACACAAAUAGAGCCGUGAGUCAGUCGAGGUAAAAAGAGCUCUAAGUUUAGCGCGGCCGUGCUCCACAUUCCCGCUCCUGACGCCUGGUCGUUUAUAUAGAGAAAACGAAAUAAAUAAAAUUACAACAAAAAUAAAGGGGGAAAUUGGUCACGUUCAGUAGGUUUUUUUUUUUUUUCUUUCUCCUCCUUGUGUGGAUGGCCACUUUGAAAAAGAGAAGAUGGAUUUCAUUUUCUUUUUGUUAUUGCUGCGCCAUGUUGCUGUGCUCAUUCGGACGGCAAUUGUUUACCUUUAAAUGUUGUUACUAUCAGAGUGUUGUAUGUAUAGGUUUCGUGGAAAUGUUUUUUAGUCGGGGAGGAGUUCACCACUUUCGAUUCGAGGUGUGCAGUUGAUGGUGGAGAGGCAAGGAGCUUGUUUUAAAAUUAAACUCGCCGGGUUCGUGUUAUCUAAAAAUACACCACCCUUUUUAGUUUCAUUUCAUUUUUAUUGACUAGAGCGAAAAGCUAAGCGACCAUUCGCAGUAGCAACACGAUAUUAGAGGGCUCUUUAUGUCAUUGGCAAAUCAAUAUGCGGCUUUUGAUUCGUGUGGUCCUCUAACACCUCUAGUGGACUGGUUGUCUCGGGUCCCCCGUUGGACCGUCUAGAUCACAACUGUCUAACAACUGGAAGAUUCUCAAGGACGUUCAGCGACUUGGCAAAUGUCCUGACGGCCCGUGACCUGUUUCUUUUUUGUUCUGUUAUUUUCUACGUAAUGCCAAAAUCAUCCAUAACUCAAGAGUGUUGUUGUUGCAAUAUUACCUGGGCCAAAACACAAAUUAUCACGUGAUGGGGCUUCGAUUCGUCGAUUCGUAAGAAACUGUAAAGUCUAUGUAUAGUCGGAAUCUCCAUGCAUUAAGGUAUAAAGACAUUGUUUUGACUGAAUUUUUAGAAUGAUCGGAUCACAUAAUCGCUAUAUUACGUUAAUAUUCGUCGCUGUUGGAUUCUUCGUUGUCGGAACUCGAAUGGUUCGAUCUCGCUGGUGCUGGGGCCUUGGCAGCAUCGGUUCUGGCGCUAUUAAGCAACGACGGAUCGUAGCCCUCUGCACGCAUUUUCUGCUCGACGGCCAUUAAGGGAACACCGAAGGAAAGCAUUUUUACAAAUCGAAGGAUUUCGGGAUUAGAAGAAGGUGCAACCGCCGUCUGGUGGACAUCGGAAACAUUUUCAUGAACAGCUGACGAGACAGGUGGUGGAAUAGGAAUGAUGACGGUCGACGGUGUAGAAGAUGGCGUAUAUAUGUUUGUAGUAGGCGCCAGUGGCGGUAGAGACGGGACUGCAGUGGAUUCCAGCGACGGAAUUGAAGCCAGCUAAUUGAUAUUUUACAAAUGAGAAAGAACAAAAAUAAUCAUUGUUGGCUCUGCUGGAUUGAUAUGGUGACGCUGGCUACACAGAUUUGAUUGUAAGAGGUAUUAUUUUAAUCAUAUCUGUGAAUUAGCAACGUAGAUGGCACAGAGUAAAUUAGAAAACCAGAAAUGAUGUGAUAAGAUGAACGAAACUCACCUUUGCUUCCAGAAUGGCUAGUGUUGCUUCAACAUCUUGUAAUCGAAAGUCGAGAUCCAACAAUUUUGUAUCACAUAUAACGGCAAAUUUGUUCAGUAGCUGGACCGAAUUGGAAACAAAGUGAUUGAAAUAACUCAAAAUUCUUUUCGUUUCGAUAGGCGGAACCUAUCCAAAGAUACGAAAGUUAUAACAUCAUCAGUUUAAAACAAUAGUUUAACAAACCGAAGAGAAUUCGACACUUGGUCCGAAAAACGGCAAUCCUUUGCUUUCCAUCCCCUUUCGAAAUCUACUUGUUUUCUUUAGUUAAUAAAGAGGUUAAAUGAC